AUUGAACGCUGGCGGCAGGCCUAACACAUGCAAGUCGAACGAGUGGCGGCCGUGUGAGUAAUGUCUGUGAAACUGCCCGCUGGAGGGGGAUACCUACUGGAAACGGUAGCUACUACCGCAUACCAUCGGAUGUGCCCAGAGGGGAUUAGCUAGUAGGUGGGGUAACGGCUCACCUAGGCGCCGAUCCCUAGCUGGUCUGAGAGGAUGAUCAGGCACACUGGAACUGGGACACGGUCCAGACUCCUAAGGUAGGCAGCAGUGGGGAAUAUUGGACAAUGGGCGAAAGCCUGAUGCAGCCAUGCCGCGUGUGUGAAGAAGGUCUUCGGAUUGUAAAGCACGUUAAGUUGGGAGGCGUUACCAACAGAAGAAGCACCGGCUAACUUCGUGCCAGCAGCCGCGGUAAUAC
rnacentral:rRNA from 1 species